CGCUGUUGGCGUGGAUAAGACAUGCAAGUCGAGCGUUGCAGCAAUGUAGCCGUGGGAGCGGCGCAAGGGUGCGUCAACACGUGGGUAUUUGCCAAAAAGUUUGGGAUCACUCGCUGAAAGGCGAGCUAAUACCGGAUGUGGCGGCAUCGUUAAAGUUGGGGACCGUAAGGCCUGACGCUUUUUGAUAAGCCCGCGGCCUAUCAGCUAGUUGGUGAGGUAACGGCUCACCAAGGCUAAGACGGGUAGCUGGUCUGGAGGACGACCAGCCACACUGGAACUGAGACACGGUCCAGACACCUACGGGUGGCAGCAGUCGAGAAUUUUUCACAAUGGGCGAAGGCCUGAUGGAGCGACGCCGCGUGGGGGAUGAAUGGCUUCGGCCCGUAAACCCCUGUCAUUUGCGAACAAAUUGCUAUUUAAAAGAUGGCGAGCUGAUUGUAGCGAAAGAGGCAGGGACGGCUAACUCUGUGCCAGCAGCCGCGGUAAUACAGAGGUCCCAAGCGUUGUUCGGCAUCACUGGGCGUAAAGGGUGCGUAGGUGGUGAGGUAAGUCGGAUGUGAAAGCUCCGAGCUCAACUCGGAAAUGGCAUUGGAAACUACCUUGCUCGAGGGUUUGAGGGGGGACUGGAAUACUUGGUGUAGCAGUGAAAUGCGUAGAUAUCAAGUAGAACACCAGUGGCGCAGGCGAGUCCCUGGAAAACUCCUGACACUGAGGCACGAAAGCUGGGGAGCAAACAGGAUUAGAUACCCUGGUAGUCCUAGCCGUAAACGGUGCGUAUCAGCUGUAAAAGGAUCGACCUUUUGUGCCGAGCUAACGCGUUAAACGAGCCGCCUGGGAAGUACGGUCGCAAGAUUAAAACUCAAAGAAAUUGACGGGGACCCGCACCAGCGGUGGAGUAUGUGGCUUAAUUCGAUGCAACGCGAAGAACCUUACCUGGGCUUGACAUGAUCGCAAGCGUGUGAAAGCACGUGAGUCCGCAAGGCACUUUGCACAGGUGCUGCAUGGCUGUCGUCAGCUCGUGUCGUGAGAUGUUGGGUUAAGUCCCGCAACGAGCGCAACCCCUGUGGCUUGUUACCAUCGUACCGGGGACUCUAGCCAGACUGCCUAGAUCAACUAGGAGGAAGGUGGGGACGACGUCAAGUCAGUAUGGCCCUUACGCCCAGGGCUGCACACGUACUACAAUGCCCAGCACAGCGUGUCCAAACCCGCGAGGGGGAGGAAAUCCUAAAACUGGGCUCAAUUCGGAUUGCAGGCUGCAACUCGCCUGCAUGAAGCCGGAAUCGCUAGUAAUGGCGCAUCAGCACGGCGCCGUGAUCAUGG
rnacentral:rRNA from 1 species